UGAGUUGACCAAAAAGUUCGUUAGGGUUUUUCUUCAAGCUCUUACGGGAAAACUCGAACAAACCUUUUGUCCAACCCA
rnacentral:ncRNA from 2 species